GGACAGGGUGCUGGCUUUGAACACAGAAGGUCAGAGUCAAUGCCCUACAUUUAGCACAUUCUACUUCUACAAAAUUUGUUCAACUAUAUGAUAGAACUUAAAGGGCAAUGGUCUCACUGCAUAAAAUAAUAUUUCCCAUUCCUCCUGGCUUGGAGUCUGGAAGAGUAAUUGAGAACAGUAUUUUGGAACUUCUAACCAAGUUACUAUUGGUCAUCAUUCAAAGUUCCAGAAACAUUGCUGUCCUGGAAAAUGCACA